CCACUAUGCAUAUCAAAAUGAAAUCCACUACAAACUUAAUGAAAUCCACUAUGCAAUUAAUGUAAUAUGAUAUAAAAUUAAAAUAAUUUCCUACAAAAUCAUCGUAAUACAAUAUCAAAUAACGUAAUACACUAUUAAAUUAACAAAACUAUUACUAUUACUCUGUUUUAUUUAUAAAAAAAAGCACCAAAAAAUAGUGCCACCAGUAACAAUAGUAUAACUAUUCGAGCAUCGCCGUCACCUCGUCUGCUCAAAAACCUAAAACAAGAGCAACAAAAGACAACGUGUCAAUUAAUUUCAUUCCAAAAAAAUUAAAUUGAAAACGAAAAAUCUGAAAUUCACUACAAGCUCAUCAAAGCCACAAAAAAAAAAAUUGAAAUCCACUACAAAAUAUCAACUUUACAAUUAGAAAAUCCACUUGAAUUUUAUUGAAAUCCACUAAAAACUUAUAUAAAACCACUACAAAAAUCCCCUUUAAUAAACGGCGCCAUCACAAACAAUAGUACAGUCACCCGAUCAUCACCUAACCUCGUUCUACUUUCUGCCAUCACGCUCUUUCUGCAAGAACCUGA
rnacentral:lncRNA from 1 species